rnacentral:tRNA from 1 species
GGAUUGUGGCUCAGCGGUAGAACGCUCGCCUAGCACGUGCGAGGCCCUGGGUUCGAUCCUAAGCGCCA